ensembl:snRNA U4 U4 spliceosomal RNA
AGCUUUGCGCAGUGGCAGUAUCAUAGCCAAUGAGGUCAAACCGAGGCGUGAUUAUUGCUAAUUGAAAACUUUUCCCAAUACCCGCCGUGAUGACUUGAAAUAUAGUCAGCACUGGCAAUUUUUGACAGUCUCUCAGGAGA